rnacentral:rRNA from 1 species
GACGAACCGUCCAAACGUUAUUCGGAAUCACUGGGCUUAAAGGGUGCGUAGGCGGCGCGGAAAGUUGGGUGUGAAAUCCCUCGGCUCAACCGAGGAAUUGCGCCCAAAACUACCGUGCUCGAGGGAGAUAGAGGUGAGCGGAACUUAGGGUGGAGCGGUGAAAUGCGUUGAUAUCCUAAGGAACACCGGUGGCGAAAGCGGCUCACUGGAUCUCUUCUGACGCUGAGGCACGAAAGCUAGGGUAGCGAACGGG